GGACUGUCGCUCAGUGGUAGAGCACUUGCUUAGCAUGCAUGAGGCACUGGGUUCUAUACUUAGCACCA
rnacentral:tRNA from 1 species